rnacentral:rRNA from 1 species
UACGUAGGGGGCAAGCGUUGUCCGGAAUCAUUGGGCGUAAAGAGCGUGUAGGCGGCUCGGUAAGUCCGCUGUGAAAGUCCAGGGCUCAACCCUGGAAUGCCGGUGGAAACUGUCGAGCUAGAGUCCGGAAGAGGCGAGUGGAAUUCCUGGUGUAGCGGUGAAAUGCGCAGAUAUCAGGAGGAACACCGGUGGCGAAGGCGGAUCUCUGGGCCAUUACUGACGCUGAGGAGCGAAAGCUAGGGGAGCAAACAGG